UACGGAGGAUCCAAGCGUUAUCCGGAUUUAUUGAGUUUAAAGGGUGCGUAGGUGGGUUAAUAAGUCAGUGGUGAAAUACGGUUGCUCAACAAUCGAGGUGCCAUUGAUACUGUUAAUCUUGAAACAAGUGGAGGUUGCCGGAAUGGAUGGUGUAGCGGUGAAAUGCAUAGAUAUCAUCCAGAACACCGAUUGCGAAGGCAGGUGACUACGUUUUGAUUUGACACUGAGGCACGAAAGCAUGGGGAGCAAACAGG
rnacentral:rRNA from 1 species